UCCCAUCCAUUUCCCGUCCAAAUUUAGCCUUUGAUCUUUAUUCCCUUUCCUUUUUCAAAUUUACUCUGUUUCUCUAUUUCCUUAUCCGAUGUUAAUUAUUAAAAAUUUUAAUUAUUAUGGCAUAAUCUCCUAAGACCCAGAAAGACACAAGAACGAGAGUGGGAAUUGAAAAAUGAAAUAGAAAAGCAAAAUGGGGCAGGGAAUGACAAUCCAAAGAGAAAUGAAUCUCAAUGCUCCAUCUCAUAUUUUUUGGUCCGUUUCCAAAAGUAGCGUCUCCUCCCAAACUUUAAUUUCCAGUUACUGCUUCAUCUAUAAGUGUAGCCUCAUCGGACAACAGUGUGUCCUCAACUGCUGACAAAAAGUUUCAUUCUAAAGAGAUUUCAAAAAAAUGUAUAUAUAAAGGAGAUGAUGUUUCUUCUCGUCAAUUUCGGGCCUUUGGUUUUCAAUGGAGUUCGAUUGAGGCUGAGUCGUGUGAGAUCCAUUUGGUACCGACGAGCGAGAGUUCCGUCCAAGGUCCUAUUCGUAAUAUAGCUGCUUAUGAGUUUCAAAGUUGUCCGAGCAUUCAAAUUUUAGAUUCAAUAUUAAGGUCCAUUUCUCUUCACUGAUGCCAUUUGAUUUCAAUUUGUGCUUUCUUGUUUCUAAUAUCUGUUUUUAUUUUAAUUGCUUCUUCUUGGUUGUGCGUAAAUAAUUCAUGAUUUAUAGUUGAGUGAGUGUAAAUGAUUUCAUGUUUUCACUGGGGAUUCAACUUGAAUUAGAUUUGAAAGUACUACUGUGUUGGGUAAGAUAAAUGGACAAUUGUAAAUUGAUUUAUCUUGGAUGAUGAAAUAAGCCGAAGGUUUGGGGCAUAAAAAAAUAAAAAAUGAAAAUGUGGAUCUUAAAUCUUCAUUGCUUUUGUUUAUAGCUUUAUAAUUUGUUUGCAUUGUUAGGAGCAUACUUAUGCCGUCAUCACAUGGGUAGGCAAACUUUAGGAUUUUUGUUAGUUUUGAGGAGAGAGGUCGUUCCCUUAGUUAAAUUUAUCCGGGGAAUACCCCGAAGGAUUUGUAUAUAUUUUAUUCCGGGGAAUGCCCCGUAGUAUCCUGUAAUUGGAGGCCAAAAGCGAACUCGUAAUACCUUUAUUCAUAUUUUAUUUUUAUCUUUUUUUAUUAGGUGGGAAUGAUCUUGAGCCUCUUAUGUAUUAAUUUUCCCAUUUCUAUGUUUAUCACCUCAAUUCGAAUAUUUUAAAACUAACUAGAUCGAGUAUGAAACCGUACUAGUUAUAGGACUCGGGGAAUGCUUAAUACCUUCUCCUCGAGUCAGAUGAACUCCCUUACCUUGAAUCUCUGGUGCAAAUUGGUUUAAUAAUCAAAUGUAUUUUGAAAAAAAAUUGUUAUUUUGAUAACAGUGACCUGGCACACCGAAAUCAAAUGUCAGGUGGCGACUCUUAAUAAUCCUUCGAAACACAAAUACUUUGUCACUUUCAAAAUUGAAAACCCUUUUGAGCUUCAAAAUCCUUUUAUUAUUUGUAAGAGGGUUAGUGAGGAGUGAAAAAAGGGGUGUGACAGCUUUGGCGACUCUGCUGGGGAGUUGUAGGUUCGAGCUGAUAUUUGAUCUUGUUGACUUUUCGGAUAUUCGGUUGAGGUGUUUGUUUUCUUUAUUUUCUUUGAUUGUCUUAUUUCCUGUUUUGUUGGUUUUUUGUUUUUCGCUUUUCUUUAUGUGUUCACUGCUUUAUAACUGUAAUCAUUUGCAUAACCAUGGUCUUCUUUCUGCAACAAGUCUUCCGGAGUAUGUUUGAGCGUACACGGCCUUUUGUGAGUAACCCGUGUCUUUAGGGGGUUGGAGUGGGAGCGUGGAGUGGGCAGAUAACUAGAGCAACCACCAUCGAUCACGUGCUGCCCCGACUUGCCUGAUCUAGUGAACCCCAAACGUAGGUCAUGCUUAUUUGCAUCAUGUCAUUUACACUUAGCAGGGCUUAGUCCCAGGCACCGUGUCCCUUUAUAGGAGGCCUAUCUAAAUUAUGUCAAAACGAGCCCAUGGCCCAAAAAUAUAUUUAAUCAUCCCUAUGUGCUACACGCUGCAUUCCUUAAGGGUAAAGGGGUCAUUUGGCGGAACAAUGAUGGUUGAGAGUAAAUGAGAAAGAAAAGAGGGUGAAGUAUAAAGAUGAAGCAAGUAGGGCCUAGUUAUAUUUUUGUUUCACAACUUUUUCAAGAAAAGACUAGAAAAAAAAAUAAAAAUGAAAAAUCCAAAAAGAUUUUGCACUUUCCCAUCAUUUUCCAAAAAAGAGAGAUAGAGAAAAAAAAGAGAUAAAGAAAAUCCAAAAAAGAUUUUACAUGUUUCAUCAUUUUCAAAAAAGAAAAAAAAUGUUUUCUCCAAAUCAGUAUUUUUUUUAUUUCUCUCCCAUAUCCAUUCUGCUAGAACUACGCAUACCAGAUUCUCGUCUUUCGGGGUGAGAUACGUAGGUAACCCACAUAGGGUCCGGUCUUUCUAGUGAGCCUUAAGUUCUUGGCUUCAGGGGUAGUAGCCAAAUCUUGCAUGUCUAGCCACUUUUGGCCACGUUGUCCUUUUCACCUCUUGUCUGGAGAGUCUUGAAUCCAUAAUGAGGUGUCUCUUUACUUUAGGCUCGCCCUGGUCGAUUUUGCAUGUCUAGCCGCUUUUGGCUACAUCGAUCGUUCUUGCAAAAUGAGGUCAUUUUCGCAAAAGUGGUUCAGUAGCCCAUGUCUUAGAAUCGUAAGUCCACAACAAGGUAUCCUAUCUGUUUAAGGUCCAUUCUUGUUAAAUAUGGAAGCUUAUCCAUUUUCGCUACAUAGGCCAUUUCUGCAAAGUAGGGUCAUUUGUGCAAAGUAAUCAUAGAGACUGUUAUUCCCAAUAGUUUGGGGGUCUUGUGGGCCUUUUUCAGUUAUUUUUCCAUUUCAUAGUGGUCAACUUUAUUGAGUUUGCACUAAUAGCCACUCUUGGCCACGUAGGUUAAUCUUUUAAAAUAGCCCAAUCAUGUCUUGCAUGUGUCCAACAGGAGGUGUUGUGGCGUCACAUAGUGUCUCGAGUUACUAACUCUAUUUGAUCUUAUUUUUCUCAUUCAGGUGUGGAUCCAUGUACCAGAGCUCGAGCAUGACAGAUAUCCCAGGACCAUCGCAUUUGGGAGCUUGUUUGAAGAUACUUUAUAUUUUGAGUUUCUUUUCAUGUUUUCUUUUACUUUGUUGUCUUGUAUAGUAGUUUUGAGUCUUUUAGGUGGUGUAAGAGUUUGCCGAGUCUUUUGUCAUCGUACUUCCCAUUCAUAUUUGAAAAAAAUAGUUAUAAAUGAAAAUCCAAAAAGAUUUUUAUAUUUAGUUUAUUUUGUCCAUUACGUUGCCAGAACUAUACUUGGUUUGAUUCAUGUGGAACAUGAUACGUAGGCAACCUACAUAGGGUUCGAUCAAUUUAUUUAUAAAUUUUUUUAAAAAAGGAGAUGAAGUUGUGGGAUGUGAAAAAUGAGAGGAAACUGCGGGAUGCAAGAAAAGAGCGAUAAUCAGAAAAAGAGAGAGGAAAGAAAUGAGCAAAUCAAGGAGCGCAAGAGAGGAAAAGAAGAAGAAAAAGGCAAUGAACAAAAUUGGGAUGAUGCCAAAUGACCUUGUGACCCUAGAACCGUUAAUUGUUGCCAGGUGCAUUGCACGCAAUGUGAUAUUUCUAUCUGAUAAAUGCCCUAACGCUAAUAUGUUGACUUUGUUUUGCUCUUUUUUGGUACUUUAAUUGUUAUCAUAAUAGAAGGUGGUUAGUUUGUGGCAUUCUAGCGAGUCAUCCGUACAACACAAUAUCAAAAAGCAAGGUAGCCAUGGCUAGCAAAGACUUGGACACAGGUGUUGUCGUUUCGCCUAAGGAGAUUGUUGAAUUAGAAUCUGAGUUGAAAGAAGAGGUCCUAAGGUUGAAAGAACAGAUGGCCGAAAUGUACCAAGCCUGGAUUAGCGGGCGCCCUCCACCAUUACUUCCCACUAACUACACCGAAAGCCUCGUCACCCCACAACCUUUUCACACUCCACCCCCCAAAAGCACCUCAUAUUCUUCUCCUUUGACCCCUCAUGUUUUUAGCUCCUCCACCAGCUACUCUUUCUCGAUCCUAUGGUGAGACUGUGUUCAAAGUCCCCGAUUCCCAGCACUAUGCUCCAGAACCAACUUUCAAGGUCUCGGAUCCAUACUCUUACGCUCCUCAUUUUGAGCCUCCCGGUGAAACAGAAAAGCUUGCUAAGAUAGUAGAGCAAGAUAAGAUAUCCAGGAAGGUGAAAAUCUUAGAGCAGUCUUUAUGAAACAUGCAAGGGAUAAGGAGCCAGGUGAGCGUGUCUUACAAAGACUUGUGCUUGUUUCUUGACGUCCAACUGCCUGCUGGAUUUAAGAUGUUAAAGUUUGAUUUGUAUGACGGCCAUGGGGAUACCGUAGCCCACUUGAGAGGUUAUUGAAGUAAGAUGAGAGGCGCCCAUGGAAAGGACGAGUUAUUGAUGGCUUAUUUCAAUCAGAGUCUGAGUGGGGAAACUCUGGAGUGGUACACCAGCCAAGACGCUAGCAAUUGGUACACAUGGGACGAUAUGACCCAUGCCUUUUCCCGGCACUUUCAGUACAAUAUAGAAAUUGUCUCGGAUCGCAUGUCCCUUACCAAGAUGGAAAAAGGCCUAAUGAAAGCUUUAGGGAAUACAAGCUCAGAUGGAGAGAGCAAGCUGCCCGAGUCAAUCCCUCGAUGGAAGAAGCCGAGAUGGUUGGGUACUUUCUUCAAGCUCAAGAGCCUACUUACUUUGGGCAUUUGAUCUCGGGUGUGGGUAAGCCUUUUAAUGAUGUGGUAAAAAUGAGAGAAAUGGUAGAAGAUGGGCUGUAGUCAAGCAAGAUCAUGAGCUAUUCUGCCUUAAAAGCAAAAACACAAGAAAUUCAGAAUGACACAUGAAGCUUGCCGGGCCAGAAGAAAAAUGAUGAUGUUGGCAUGGUUUCUCAGGAUCACGGCAUGGCCCAACGGGUCCGCCUCACCAAUAUGCUCAGCCUCGACCCCGACCCCAGUAUUAUCCUACAAAUAACGUCUGGUCAUCCGUCCAACCACUAGGUCACUCCUUAUGGCGAGCGCCAACACUGCAUAAUGCACUCUUGCCUUCACAAUAUUUUAGAGCAUCCAACAACCCUAGAAAACAUGGGCAUGGAGGGGAACAAAGGUAAAGAAAUAGUUUCACAUCAAUCGGGGAAUCCCACACAAGCUUGUUUGAAAAGUUAAAAUAUUCUGGCUUGAUUGAACCGCUCUUCGGUUAUACUCCAGACCCAUAUGCAAAAGGUUUUGAUCCUGCUGUACGGUGCAUGUACCACUCUAAUGUCCAAGGGUAUAACAUAAAAGAUUGUCGUGCUUUGAAAAUGGAGAUAAAAGAAUGAUUCAAGAAGGGAUAAUUGUGGUCCAGGACAGUGCCACCCAGAACAUCGCGCAGAGUCCUUUACAUGCACAUAAUGAUGAACACUUUGUGGGGAUAAUGCAUGGUGACAGGGAGUAUGAAAAUCCUAUCAGGAACUUGCUGACUAAAGUUAAUGAUUUUGAAAUUGGAGAAGGCCCUGGUAAUUUUUAUGAGCAAAUUUGUUGCUAAAUAUCAAGCUUAGUAAUUGAAAGGUCAUUCUCUCCUCACUAGAAAGGAAUCUUGGUACCUUGUUUUUAUGUUUUUUCUGCUAUCUGCUUAUUUCGGGGUUGUAAUAUAGAUUUAUCUUAUUUGUUUUGGUGAUUCAAACCCUUCUAUCCUCUUUUUCCUAUCUCUAGGAGUCUUGUUAGUUAGUUUUGUGUCUCUAAGUUUGUCAUCUAGGGUUAUUUUGGGGCUUUAAUAUAGAUUUUAUUCUACUGUUCAAACCCUUCCGCCCUUUGGUCAAAUGAGAUUUUGUUUUUCUGUGAUUUGUAUUCUUCGUUUAGUUCUUUUCUUGUAUAUAGUUCUCUUCAGGCUAGUUCUAAUGACAUGACAUGCAUGUAGAACUUUUAACCAGUUAUCGAAAGCCAAUCUAAUCAUGGAAUAAUGAAACAUAGUUUUGAAUAUGAUAAAAAGAUGCAUUUGAGGAAACAAGUAAAGAUUCACGCAUUCUAAGAUAACCUAAAGCUUGAAUUGAGUGAACCUGAGGCAGUUAGUUUGGAAAAUCAAGAGGUUGAUGAUAGCAUACAAAAAGGGAAUGUCUCUCAAGCAGUUUGAGGUAGAUCAGUCAGUGUUGAAACUUUCUUCUACAUCGAGAUAAAGUUGAGUCAAGUCUGCUUCGAACUGGCAAGGGUCAUCCAUUGGGACAGAGGUAUUGGCCAUAGAUACUUUUGUUUGUGUUGAUUCCAUUAAUAGAUACUAUGUAUGAUUUCUUUUCUUAUCUUCAAUUGCAUAUUUGUACUUAGCAUUUUUAAAGUUUGUAUGACGAAGGAAUUUUAUUCCGCUACCCAAACACUUUUAUCUUUUGCUACCCCUUUUGAGCCCUAAUUUUUUUUUGUUUCAUACCCUUAUUUUGGAAUCAGAAGUAGAGUUAGGAACUAGAAAAGAAAAAGUAAAAGAGAAAAAGAAGAAAAAGAAAAUAAAAGAGAAAAAGAAGAAAAAGAGAAGAAAGAAAAAUAAGGAGAAAAGAAAAAAAGAAGGAAAAAAAAGAAAAACAACAAAUAAACCAACUUUGUGUUGGAACUACGUUCGGCCUAAUUCCUUUUAAGGAUACGUAGACAGCCUUACUCUGAGGUUAGGUCCCAUCAAAGCAAAAAAAAUAAAAAAUAAAAUCCCCAGACUCUAAUAAACUGGGAAGAAGUUUUAAUUUGGCCAAAAGAUCUGAUUCCAAAAGUUAUAAUUUUAAACCCUUUCAUCUUAAAUUAUUUUGAGCAUUCAUGUCACCCUUUCUUUCCAACCCUGUCCAAAAGCCUACAUCAAGGCCCAAAGAAAAACCUUUUGACCAAUAUUUGAGGAUGCCAAAUAAAGUGUGUGGUAAAAGUAUUAUCUUCUUAUAUCAUGGGUAAUACCUUGUUCUCAGCACAAAGAGAGAAAAUGAUAAAAUGAGAGUGUCUUAUCGGUGAAAACCCUCAUGGGCACGGUAAGGCGACGGUAAGUUGAGAAAAUGAGCAAAAUGAGAGAGGCUUGAUGGUGAAAACCCUUCAGGGCACUACAAGUCGAUUGAGGAUUGUGGAUCGAAUAGGACAAUUGGAGCGCUGAAGCCCAGUUUCACAACUUAGAGGCAUAACAAGAGUUGAAGAUUAGACUCGCUUGACAAAUCAGGCCGCUUAAUCCAAAAUACAUGUCAUGGUUAGUGGAGAUGGCCUUCAAAUCAGAUUAGUUUCUACUUUGUUCUUUUUCCUGGGUAAAAAUAUUUUCUUGUUAGAUACCAUCUCUUCUUGUUAUUAAUUGAACUCAACUUAAAUCUAAAAAUAUUAUAAUUAAACUAACAAUUUCCCUUAUUUUGUUCCUUUUGUUUUGUUUGAGUCCCUUUUGAGUCUAUUUUUGUCGAAACAAAUGAGAAAUGACUUCAAAAUCUACUGCCGACUUUUUAAUCACACAAAAGCCGAGUCUGGCAAGCACAUCAAAUGACAUAAGACAUAGGAGAAUAGUGUGUGCACUGAAUUGGUGAUAAUAGAUGUUCUUUGGGAUUGAUGUAAAAUGCAAAGAUUUGGUGAAUGUUAGAACACGAGUACAAUGCAUCGGGCAUAAGGUAUUGGACUUGAACGAAUCAGGAAUAUUUCUUGUGAUAAGGGUUGUCCGAAAAAGCAAUCUACCGAUAACAAGCACUAUCUUCCAAGUUGAAGUCCAAGUUGAUCGUGACAAGUGCAUGAGAAAUUUUCCUCGUAAUCUAUGCCACAAACUAACCACCAAGUUUUAAACUCACAAGUUUUCUUUGUCUGAAACAGGGAUGAAGGCUAUAUUCAUAUCAAAGCUUGAAUUUUUCAGGUGUAAUGCCCCUAUUCUGUUUACGCAAAGGCUAUUGAGAAGAUCACACAUCAUUCCUAGGAGAUGCACUUCCUAGUCUGGGUCUUUCAGGUUAUAUUUUUGUUUUAGGAGACACACUUCCUAGUUUUGGGUCAUUUAAGUUCAUUCCUAGGAGACGGACUUCCUAGUUUGAGUAAUUGAAGUUUCACCCGUAGGAGACGCACUUCCUAGUCUGGGUCUUUUAGGUUAUAUUUUUAUUUUAGGAGACACACUUCCUAAACUAAGAUUUUACCCCUAGGAGACACACUUCCUUCAUUCAAGUUUCAUCCCUAGGAUAUGCACUUCCUAGUUUGAGUCGUUUGAGUUCAUCCCUAGGAGACGCACAUCCUAGUCGAGUCUUUAGUUUUACUCUAAUCAUUGCAUCAAUAGCAUAGGUGAUUUAUAGUUUUGCUAACAACUCGCAAAUCUUCCUAGUGCAAAUUGGGGCAGAAAAUUUUGUUUGUUUUGUUGUUUUGAUUGCAGGCACCCACCUGAAGAAUGAGGAAAUUCUUUUCUAAGUUACUUCAAAUUUUAAGUCAGUAGCAGGCGCCCACUUGAAGAACGAGGGAAGUCAUUUCAGAAUUCAAUUCAAGUUAGAAGUACCAGAACCUCGCCUCAAGAAUGCGAGUCGACAGUCCGAUAUGACCAAAAGAAGAAGUCUCAAUCUAAAAUGAAAAAAAAAGAAAAAAAAUAAGUAAAUCCAAAUGCAGAAGCAGAUGAAAGAUGUGAACUGCUCAAGACAUGGUUGAAGUUACGAGCACUGCAUGUCCGGUCUUGAUCCGAAGAAGUCGUGGAAGAAUGAAUCAGCACCUGUAGCUAGCAAGCAUAAAGGUUCAAAUCAAAAGUCUGAAUGAAGAACCAUUCAAGACUCAAGAUCAAGCUUUAGUAGACUUAUAGAUACGAAUCUUGUAAUUCAUAGCAGAUAGGCUUGAUUAUUUCUUUUAGAUUUUGAUUUGAUAUAAUAAUAGGACCGCGGAUCGAACCUCGAUGGAACGGUAUCUCACUCGGCUCUCUCAUCCUCUCCACAUACUUCAUCGUUUUUUCCUACUUCUGAACUACACGUGACCUGAUUCCUCUAUAGCCAAGGAUAUGUAGGCAGCUCAAAUACCAGGGUUCAGUCACAAUCUUUUGUCCAUCUUUGUUUCAUUUUGAAUAAGCGUCGGGUCAUAAAUCAAUUAUGUUGCUUAUUGUUCUUUGCUCAAAAUACUCUUCGGGUUUUCAAGUAAAGAGGGACAGCUGUAAGCACGUAAUUUUUGACCAGCGUAACUUUUAAAAGUAGUAUUUUUAAAAUAUUUAUUUAUUUUUAUUUUUAUAGGAUUUAGCCUAUUUUUCACUUUUAAUCUAAUAGUAGAACAUAAAAUUCAAAAACACAAAAAAAUAGUUUCACUUUGUUUUUUACCCCAUUACAUAUCCUUUUCAAGAAUAAUGUAUUUUUGGUAGUAAUAUUAUUUUAAUUUCGUGUUGAUUUUAAUCUAAUCCUAUUUUUAUUUUUGAUAUUUGAAAAAUACCGCAAAAAUAGCUUUGUUUUAAUGAUUAAUUUUAUUUUAAUAGUUUAUUCUACUUAAGUAGGAUUAAUUAAUAUUUUAGUAGUAUUUUUAUCUUUAUUUUAUUUAAUAGGCAUGACUUAAUAUUUGGUUGAUAGAUUUUUGAUUAAUUAGGCCAAUUUUGAGCACAAACCUAGCCACCAAAGGCCCAAAUCGGAACAACCCAACACUCAACCCAUUAACCCAUCUAAUCUGAGCCAUCCAUCCUCUUUAAUUCAAUGGCCAAGGUUCUUUCCCCAAACGAUAUAAUUAUAAUACUUUUCACAAACCUCAACCCUAGAGACAAGAGAAAAAUUGGCCGCACCUAAUUCCUUCAUUUCAAAAAACACCCAGCAUAUUCAUCCAAACAUUUUUCUGCCAAUCUCAACGAUACCAACUUCCCAUCCAUUUUACGUCCUAAUUUAGCCUUUGAUCUUUAUUCCCUUUCCUUUUUCAAAUUUAUGUUGUUUCUCUAUUUCCUUGUUCGAUGUUAAUUAUUAAAAACUUCAAUUAUUAUGGCAUAAUCUCCUAAGACCCAGAAAGGUACGGGAACGAGAGUGGGAAUUAAAAAACGAAGCAGAAAAGCAAAAGGGGGAUGGGAACGAAAAUCCAAAGAGCAACGAAUCUCAAUGCUCCAUCUCAUAUUUUAUGGUCCAUUUACAAAAGUAGCGUCUCCUCCCAAACUUUAAUUUACAGUUACUGCUUCAUCUACAAGUGUAGCCUUAUCGGACAGCAGUGUGUCCUCAAUUGCUGACAAAUCUUUUUCAUUCUAAAGAGAUUUUGAAAAAAUAUAUAUAUAAAGGAGAUGAUGUUUCUUCUCGUCAAUUUCGGGCCUUUGAUUUUCAAUGGAGUUCGAUUGAGGCUGAGUCGUGUGAGAUCCGUGUGGAGCUGACGAGCGCGAGUUCCGUCGGAGGUACUGUUCACAAUCUUGUUGCUUAUGCGUUUCGAAGUUGUCCGAACAUUCAAAUUUUAGAUUCAAUAUUAAGGUCUAUUUCUCUUCACUAAUCCCAUUUGAUUUCUAUUUGUGCUUUCUUGUUUCUAAUAUCUGUUUUUAUUUUAAUUGCUUCUUCGUGGUUGUUGUAUAAAUAAUUUAUGAUUUAUAGUUGAGUGAGUGCAAAUGAUUUCACGUUUUCGCUGGGUAUUCAACUUGUAUUAGAUUUGAAAGUACUACUGUGUUGGGUAAGAUAAAUGGACAAUUGUAAAUUGAUUUGUCUUGGAUGAUGAAAUAAGCCGAAGGUUUUGG
rnacentral:lncRNA from 1 species